rnacentral:pre_miRNA from 1 species
UUAACUCAAAUUCGUAUGGAGCUGGAACGUUUGCCGUUGGGCGCUGUUCCAAUGGCAUAAAAAUUUGAGUUA